AUUGAACGCUGGCGGCAGGCCUAACACAUGCAAGUCGAGCGGAUGAAGGGAGCUUGCUCCUGGAUUCAGCGGCGGACGGGUGAGUAAUGCCUAGGAAUCUGCCUGGUAGUGGGGGAUAACGUCCGGAAACGGGCGCUAAUACCGCAUACGUCCUGAGGGAGAAAGUGGGGGAUCUUCGGACCUCACGCUAUCAGAUGAGCCUAGGUCGGAUUAGCUAGUUGGUGGGGUAAAGGCCUACCAAGGCGACGAUCCGUAACUGGUCUGAGAGGAUGAUCAGUCACACUGGAACUGAGACACGGUCCAGACUCCUACGGGAGGCAGCAGUGGGGAAUAUUGGACAAUGGGCGAAAGCCUGAUCCAGCCAUGCCGCGUGUGUGAAGAAGGUCUUCGGAUUGUAAAGCACUUUAAGUUGGGAGGAAGGGCAGUAAGUUAAUACCUUGCUGUUUUGACGUUACCAACAGAAUGAGCACCGGCUAACCUCGUG
rnacentral:rRNA from 1 species